rnacentral:lncRNA from 1 species
GUUUGUUUCAGCUGACAGCUUUGGACGUCUAGUUCACAGUCAGUCAGCUGUGUAACAUAGCUCUCUGACUGUGGUGAGUGUGAGGGGAACACAGUGGCUCACCUCAGGCUGAAAGAGGAGAGGGGAAAGACCAGGUCCCAUAACAGCAUACCCUCAACACCUGACAAUCUCCCAUUAGGUCUUACAACCGAAGUUUUCACCACCCUCCAGUAGUUCCUGAUGGGAGACACCCACAGCCUCACCCGGGCAGCCAGUAAGAUCCAGAUGUUUAGAUGCUGUCUUUGGAGCAGAGGUAGAUGGCUGGCAACCUUGGAGAGAAUAAAUGAUUUAGGGAGAGAUGAAUGAGUCCUGGGAACAAGAGACACUUGGGACAAGGUCUGCCUGGGGCUAGUGUUGACCUCCGUCCCCUCCCCUGUGAUGUGGGUUCAUCUUUCCUCUUUCCUGCUGACUGAGGUACGGGAGGGAGGAGUGUGAUAAAGUUUCCUCUGAAUGAAACAUUCCUUAUAGGAUGGAGGGGCCCACGAGACUCAGGGUGCUUCCCACAAUCACUUACUGGGUGGAUUUCCCUGAUACCCAUGUUGGCUUCCUCUUCCUGAUACUUGACAGAGCACCAUGUCCUGCACACUUGUGACACUGAGGCCACGGAAGGAUAACCACAGGCAGCAGGGCAGGCCUGGACCUAGGACCAUCACUCUUGUUGGAUAGGGAGAAGGCACUGGGCCCAGUCAUGGGAAACAGAGGGUCUGAGCCGAGAACGCCUCAAGAGCGGCAUCCCUUUAAGCCCCACCGAGACUGCUCCAAGUUUUAGUUUAUAGGGCAGCUGCUCCAAGAAAGAGCAACGAGUCUACUGACACGUGCCGUGGCGUGGAGUUCACUGGAUGUCUUCCUGGCGGUCACAAAGAACUCGCUAACUGCAAAGUACUGGGUGCUUCCCUGGGAAUAAAGAAUACAAAGUAAAGGGCGCGCCCUCCACCCCCCUCCCCCACCCCG